CUUCAAUUGCCCUAUCUUCACACCUGAACACUAUUGCUCCGGUAUCCUGCCAUUUUGGAUCAGGGCGGUUGACGGUGGAUUCACUUCCCAUCAGCCCUUGAGGCUGCAGGGACCAGCCCUUUGUGGAGAAGCCCAGGCGGCCUAGAAUCCAGUGUCGUCCGUGAGUGCUUGGCUGGUGUUCAAGUGCAUCUUCCAGCCUGAGACCGCGUGGACUCGCUCAUCGUGAGGGCGAGAGGAGGAUAAGCCCAUUGGGCUGUCGGCUGAGAGUGAGACCAUCCACAAUAUUGUUUGAACAUCUGAAGACAUGGGGAACUUGCCAUCUGAUAUCUGAUAACAGACUUCCUGUAAAGCAGGACUGGUAGUUUCCUGAUAACAAAUUCUUCAAUAUGAAGCAGAUUGCUGAUGAAAUCCUUGGCAUCGUCGGAGAUCUCAUCGAAUGCCUCGUCGUCGAAGUCCCAGGUGGCUGAGGUAACGUUGGCCAAGGUUUCGUUAUCGUUGUCUCCCAUGAAGGGGGAAAGGCCACUGACUCUGGAGAGACAAGAGCAGGACAGCAGGUGUGGCUAGGAGAGGGCGCGACGACCAGGUGAGUGGUAACUGAGGUCAAAGGCGAGGGUCGGCCAGCCU
rnacentral:lncRNA from 1 species